rnacentral:misc_RNA from 1 species
CAUGGAACACACAUAUUAGACCACAUGUUUUAUUCAUGGUGCACUCUUCCACACGUUCACCAAUUCAUGCAUCCCAUUCCAAUAAAUACGUUUUACCUCAGCUACCGUAAUUUUAAACAAAUAAUUAAUUAAAUCCAUUGAAGACUACCUCAGGUCAUCAAAAUUCGGUUCCACUCCACAAAUUGGAGGGAUUUAUAAGAAU